rnacentral:rRNA from 1 species
CAGCAGCCACGGUAAUACGGAGGAUCCGAGCGUUAUCCGGAUUUAUUGGGUUUAAAGGGUGCGUAGGCGGCCUUGUAAGUCAGGGGUGAAAGACGGUAGCUUAACUAUCGCAGUGCCCUUGAUACUGCAGGGCUUGAAUGUACUUGAGGUAGGCGGAAUGUGACAAGUAGCGGUGAAAUGCAUAGAUAUGUCACAGAACACCAAUUGCGAAGGCAGCUUACUAAAGUAUGAUUGACGCUGAGGCACGAAAGCGUGGGGAUCAAACAGGAUUAGAUACCCCCGUAGUCCCUGUCUCUUAUAC